rnacentral:rRNA from 1 species
GCCAAUCAAACUUGGAGAUAGCUCGUACUCCCCGAAAGGCAUUUAGGUGCCGCGUCGGAUGGUCACCGUGAGAGGUAGAGCGACCGAUAGGACAAGAGGGCUUCACCGCCUAUCGAGUCCUGACGAACUCCGAAUGCUCACGGUCUGCAGUCCGGCAGUAAGGGGGCGGGUGCUAAGGUCCGUCCCCGAGAGGAGAAGAAUCCAGACCGCCGUCUAAGGUCCCGGAGUUCUGCCUGAGUUAGUCUAACGAAGUCUGGUCCCUAUGACAGCUAGGAUGUUGGCUUGGAAGCAGCCAUUCAUUCAAAGAGUGCGUAACAGCUCACUAGUCGAGGGUCCGGGCAUGGAUAAUAAUCGGGUAUAAGGCAGACACCGAAGGCGCGGGAUAGCAUUUAAGAAAGUAUCGGUAGGGGAGCAUACUCACAGCGUCGAAUGGUGUACGUAAGUUAUCCUGGAGCGGUGAGUAAAGCAAAUGUAGGAAUAAGUAACGAUAAGGAGGGUUAGAUUCCCUCCCGCUGUAAGACCAAGGUUUCCCGGGCAAUGCCAAUCAGCCCGGGGUCAGUCGGGUCCUAAGUCUAAGCCGAACGGCGAUGGCGAUGGCAGAGACGGUUAAUAUUCCGUCACUGCCGCAUGGGGCGACGUGGAGACGGAGCAGUGAAACCACCGCGGGGCGACGGAAGUCCCCGUUGAAGAGUGUAGGUGUUGAGGAUGGCAGGCAAAUCCACCGUCCGAGCUGAACUUGAUAGUAUGGAGUCUUCUUCGGAAGAAUCCAAUAGUGUGGGUAAUCAUACUCCCGAGAAAAUCCGCUAAGCUUAACCCAUGCGGCACCCGUACCGCAAACGGACACACGUGGUCGGGUAGAACAUACUAAGGCGUUGAGAGAUUCAUGGUUAAGGAACUAGGCAAAUUGACCCUGUAACUUCGGGAUAAAGGGUCCUCGUGAUGAGCGAGGCGCAGAGAAUAGGUCCAGGCAACUGUUUAACAAAAACACAGGGCUGUGCAAAAUUGAAAGAUGAAGUAUACAGCCUGACACCUGCCCGGUGCUGGAAGGUUAAGAGGAGAUGUCAUCGCAAGAGAAGCAUUGAAUUGAAGCCCCAGUAAACGGCGGCCGUAACUAUAACGGUCCUAAGGUAGCGAAAUUCCUUGUCGGGUAAGUUCCGACCUGCACGAAUGGUGUAAUGAUCUGGACGCUGUCUCAACCGUGAGCUCAGUGAAAUUGUAGUAUCGGUGAAGAUGCCGAUUACCCGCGAUGGGACGAAAAGACCCCGUGAACCUUUACUAUAGCUUAACAUUGAAUUUGGGUAAUUGAUGUGUAGGAUAGGCCGGAGACUUUGAAUCAGGUACGCCAGUAUUUGUGGAGUCGCCGUUGAAAUACGGCCCUUUGGUUGUUUGAGUUCUAACCCGCAGAAGCGGGGACACUGUAUGGUGGGUAGUUUGACUGGGGUGGUCGCCUCCAAAAGAGUAACGGAGGCUUCUAAAGGUACCCUCAGACCGAUUGGUAACCGGUCGUAGAGUGUAAUGGCAUAAGGGUGCUUGACUGGGAGACAGACAAGUCGAUCAGGUAGGAAACUAGAGCAUAGUGAUCCGGUGUUUCCGCAUGGAAGGGACAUCGCUCAAAGGAUAAAAGGUACUCCGGGGAUAACAGGCUGAUC